rnacentral:lncRNA from 1 species
GGAGUCGCACGUUCAAUUUAGCGAAGGGCUUAUUUUGCAAACCAAGUUUCAGCCUCCCUAUAUAAGGAGAGUGAGUGCGGAGCUUUUUUUAUUAUUGGACUCUACAAUCCCAUUUAAGUUAGUCCCUCAUCUAACCAAACAUGGGCUUCAAAUUUUAUUUAGCACAUUCUUAUUUAGUGAGCCCUACUAAAUAUGCAUAGUAAGUUAUUAUUAACAGGC